rnacentral:lncRNA from 1 species
GCAACAAACUGUUGCCCCCUGGCAACACAUUUAAAAGGUCAUUGGAUGUCAAAUCAGCCCAAGGCCUGGUUGAAGAGGAACGUUUUUGCCUGGCGCCUAAAAAUGUAUAAUGGAGGCACCAGCCGAACCUCCCCGGGGAGAGCAUUCCACAGAUGGAGAGCCGCUACAGACAAUCCCAGCACUUGGCUGUUAGGUGAGGCUGACUGACCCAUGUCACAAUGAGGUUGUGAGGAUAACAGUAAAGAAGAGGAGGAGGGCCAGUGCUAUUUUUUUUCUAGAAGAAGAGGUGCCAGAACUCACCAUGUCCUCUUAUAACGGCAAUGAUGCCCACCUGAGAGGUGCUGGAACUGAAUUCCAGUGAGAUCUGGCUGAAAGGAAUCCCUGAAGAAAAUCCAUGUACGUCACCUUGAGUUCUGUGGAGGAAAGGUGGGAUAGAAAUGCUGUAAGCAAACAAAAUUAGGAUUGCUAUCUGCUUAUGGGCUGCAUUUUAUAGUCGUCAUGACAAUCGGCAGUGAAUUCCACACCCACCGUCUGUAGUAGCCUCUUUCAGGGAUGGUAGCAAGGGUGUAGCGGGGUAGCUGGAGCCAUUCUUAGCCCUUCCCUUGGAAACUGAUUGUCAGGUGCUGGUGUGGUUGAUCGAGAGCAAACCGGCAAGACUCCGACCUGUCUUUUCCAGGCUUUAUUAUUAGUGCAAAUUAUUUACAGGGAUGCGGGUGGUGCUAUGGUCUAAACCACUGAGCCUAGGGCUUGCUGAUCAGAAGGUCGGCAGUUCGAAUCCCCGCGACGGGGUGAGCUCCCGUUGCUCGGUCCCUGCUCCUGCCCACCUAGCAGUUCGAAAGCACAAAGUGCAAGUAGAUAAAUAGGUACCGCUCCGGUGGGAAGGUAAAUGGCAUUUCUGUGCGCUGCUCUGGUUCGCCAGAAGUGGCUUAGUCAUGCUAGCCACAUGACCCGGAAGCUGUACGCCGGCUCCCUCGGCCAAUAAAGCGAGAUGAGCGCCACAACCCCAGAGUCGUCUGCGACUGGACCUAACGGUCAGGGGUCCCUUUACCUUUAUUUACAGUGAAAAGCAUUGCAAGUUCAUGUCUGGCUCACUCGCUAGCAGAAUCUGGGAGUGGGCGGUCCUUAUACCUUCCCCAGCAUAAUAGUCGGGUGACCCCCAACCUUCUCCUCCCUUCCCUGCGCCUAAACCUACUGCACAGAAUGGGCGCUGGUAAAGGGGUACUGUAUUUUUCGCUCUAUAAGAUGCACCAGACCACAAGACGCACCUAGUUUUUGGAGGAGGAAAACAAGAAAAAAAAUGUUCUGAAUCUCAGAAGCCAGAACAGCAAGAGGGAUCGCUGCGCAGUGAAAGCAGCAAUCCCUCUUGCUAUUCUGGCUUCUGGGAUAGCUGCGCAGCCUGCAUUCGCUCCAUAAGACGCACACACAUUUCCCCUUACUUUUUAGGAGGGAAAAAGUGAGUCUUAUAGAGCAAAAAAUACGGUAGUUCCCUCCCCUCCGGUUUUCUCAGGCUCGGUGUUGAGGCUCUCCCUAGCAUCCCCUGCUCCCACCACUUCCUCUCCACUGGAGGUGGGGCUUCCCUCCUCGCCAGAGGAGGAACUGCUUCACAAGAUUUUCGGAGGUUCCCUAUAACACAACUGCCCUUCCACCUCUUGUCUCUGAGCUGAUGGCAGUUCCCUGACACUGAUCCUCCACUUCUGUUCAUCUCCCAAGGCCAUUUUGACCUAGCCAAACUUAUUUUUUGUAUCUGGAGAAAAUGAGUGGAAAGGAAGAAUUGCUUAUAGGCUAUAGUAGCGUUAUGAGGCAAACAAAGCUUUGCAGUCCCAUGUCGGCCUCCUUACAGGUCACUGUGCCAAAACAGGCCCUUUUCACAAUAGUUGCUAUGUUACAGCAAUGGGUCCCAAACGUUAACAUCAUAUCUGCACUUCCCAGAAGCAACUGGAGAUAAUUACUGUUCCGCCAGGCAUUCCCAGCUGGAUGAAUCCAUCUUUGCCACGAGUAUGUUCUGUUUUAAAUGUAACUGAUGGCUUUUUGUAUGUGUUAACUCUUUAUUAUAGGAGGAGAUUAAAUAAAUAUAUGAACAACAACAAAAUAAAUAGGAAUCCCCCCCCCAUGAGCAACAGAAGGAAUGAAUUUAUGAGAAAAGAGAGGGAUAUAUACAUAUAUAUUUGUUGUUGUUGUUGUUUAGUCGUUUAGUCGUGUCCGACUCUUCGUGACCCCAUGGACCAGAGCACGCCAGGCACUCCUGUCUUCCACUACCUCCCGCAGUUUGGUCAAAUUCAUGCUGGUAGCUUCGAGAACACUGUCCAACCAUCUCGCCCUCUGUCGUCCCCUUCUCCUUGUGCCCUCCAUCUUUCCCAACAUCAGGGUCUUUUCCAGGGAGUCUUCUCUUCUCAUGAGGUGGCCAAAGUAUUGGAGUCUCAGCUUCACAAUCUGUCCUUCCAGUGAGCACUCAGGGCUGAUUUCCUUCAGAAUGGAGAGGUUUGAUCUUCUUGCAGUCCAUGGGACUCUCAAGAGUCUCCUCCAGCACCAUAAUUCAAAAGCAUCAAUUCUUCGGCGAUCAGCCUUCUUUAUGGUCCAGCUCUCACUUCUCACUUCCACACAUCACUAAUCUCUCUCCUGCCCCACUAAAUAUAAUGCACUUUGUAUGUUAUUUUCAUGAAUAUACACAUUUUUAUGCACACAUUACUCUCGUACAUGUAUUUUUAUGCACACUCAUUGACUAGAGAACUACACUGCAAGAUUUGUGAAAAUUGCAGAUUUUUAAGAAUGGCUAUGUGUCAGUUCUCAUUUUGUUUCAGAUUAGGUAAAUUCACCUUUAAGUGUUCUGCCACAGAUUCAUUCUCUCUCUCUCUCUCUCUCUCUCUCUCUCUCCCUCUCCCUGAAUGAGGGAGGUUUUAUUUCCACAGAUUUAUAGGUUUAGCUGGACAUUGCAAGCCAGCUGUGCCAUACUGUGUGCAUCAGAUUAAAAAGCUAUGGCCUGACACAGGAAAGACUCCCCCUGCUGCUGCCACCAGCAACGUUCGGUGUAAACCAGUUUCCUUCCUCUAAAGUCACAGGAGACUCACCAUGUUUCAAAGAGAUGUGUGAACACUAAUCUCCUCUUUCCCCUCCUCAGAGCAUCUCUCCUCUCCACUUUUUCCGGCUAAAGCUGUGAACAAGAAAUGACAGGGGAAGUUAAUGUUUUUUUUCUGCCACUUGUGGGUGAAUCUGAGAAACCUACACGUCUUGCCAGAGUAGUUACCGCUGAAGAAAAAAAGAAGGCAUGGAGAUCAUCACUUCAGAGACACAG